GGGGAGGCCCGGGCGUCCUCACCUGCAUCCCGGGCACUUGGACCGCCACCGAUGAAUGGAUAAAGAAGAUGUGGUACAUAUAUAUUAUACAAUGGAAUACUACUCAGCCAUGAAAAAGAAUGAAAUAAUGCCAUUUUCAGCAACAUGGAUUCAACUGGAGAUUAUCGUACUAAGUGAAAUGCAUAUAUUAUCAUUAGAAUUUGACCAAGAAUAAAGGAAAUGUGUGAGUAUCCAUUUAUCCAAUGCUGAGUGAAGAGACAAUGACAAAAACCUCCACCUACAGUAUAACCAGGAUACAACUGAAGAAAAUAAAUAAUGAUGUGUUCAUCUGUGGUUGAAAGUUUGUGUGUUUCAAGCACUGUGUGA